AGUGAACGCUGGCGGUAGGCCUAACACAUGCAAGUCGAACGGCAGCACAGUAAGAGCUUGCUCUUACGGGUGGCGAGUGGCGGACGGGUGAGGAAUACAUCGGAAUCUACUUUUUCGUGGGGGAUAACGUAGGGAAACUUACGCUAAUACCGCAUACGACCUACGGGUGAAAGCAGGGGAUCUUCGGACCUUGCGCGAUUGAAUGAGCCGAUGUCGGAUUAGCUAGUGGGCGGGGUAAAGGCCCACCAAGGCGACGAUCCGUAGCUGGUCUGAGAGGAUGAUCAGCCACACUGGAACUGAGACACGGUCCAGACUCCUACGGGAGGCAGCAGUGGGGAAUAUUGGACAAUGGGCGCAAGCCUGAUCCAGCCAUACCGCGUGGGCGAAGAAGGCCUUCGGGUUGUAAAGCCCUUUUGUUGGGAAAGAAAAGCAGCAGGUUAAUACCCCGCUGUUCUGACGGUACCCAAAGAAUAAGCACCGGCUAACUUCGUG
rnacentral:rRNA from 1 species